AUGUCGGAAGAAACCCUACAGAGCAAAUUGGCUGUGGCCAAGAAAACAUUGAGAGAAUAUCAGCAUAGAAAAUACCCUGGUGUAGGUACAAGAGCAAAAAAAGGAGAAAAUUAAAAAUGGCAGCAACCCUGAGACAACCACUUCUGUUGGUUGCCAUUCACCUGAUGAUACAUCCAAAGACCACGUUUCUCCCCUACAACUGUCUGCUCAUGACACCAUGUUAGCUGGUGGUGUCUCUUCCCCUGGUGCCAGUCGCACUAGCAUGGCGGCUCCUCAGAAUCAUGAUGCUGACAUUGGUCCCAAUCUCAUGGAUGAAACCAAGGCUUUCUCAUUGACCGGGAGCCCAGGGCAACUCUCCCAAUAGCUCAGUGGUCUUACCUCUGAGUCUACAUCCUUUGUCAAUGGGGACGGCCCUGCAUCAUCUGCUAACCUGAAGGAUCUGGAGAAACAACAGAACCAAGAAAUUCUGGAUCAACUGAAAGAAGAAAAGAAAGCAAGGAAUUGAAAGCAGGGAGCCCAAAGGGAGUAGUUACAGGUUCAAAUUCAGACCACAGGGAUACUCAUGUCCAAGAAAGGAGAGUUAUGGACAGCCCUGUAUUUCACUCAGCGUGCUGCCACGUAGUUUGAAGGAGAGUCAAAGGAUCUGGCCAGCCGCCUGCAGUAUUCCUGGCAGCAUGUGGGAGAGUUGGCGCGGGCUCUCUCUGCUGUCUCUACACAGCAGAAGACGACGGACAAGUACAACAAAGAGUUAACCAAAAAGAGAGAUGCCCUCAGGCUGAAGUUUUAUGAAGAUCUGAAGCAGCAGAACUCAGAACUAGAAGAGAAACUUGAGUCCUAGUAUCGGAGAAGUCAGGGAUCCAGCUCAACUUGGAGGAGCUGCAAAAGAAGCUGGAGAGGGCCAAGCUCCUGCUUCAACAGCCCUCAAGCCAGUGUGAACCGCCUAAUGCUAACCAGCAGUUACAGCAGGCCAUGGAGAAUCAGGCACAGCUGGAAGCACACCUGGGGCAGGUUACAGAGUUGUUGAAACAGCUACAGAUAGAGAAAGAUCAAUAUACUGAAAAUCUAAAAGGAGGGAGCACCAUGUGGUAGCAGAGGAUACAGCUGAUGUCAGAGCAGGUGCACAGGUUGAGGGAGGAGAAGGGGCACAGCAUGAGUCGGGUACAGGAGCUAGAGACGAGCUUGGCCGAACUGAGGAACCAGAUGGCUGAACCCCUGCUCCUGGAGCCCCCAGCAGGGCCCUCUGAGGUGGAGCAGCAGCUACAAGUGGAGGCCGAGCACCUGCAGGAGGAGCUGGAGGGUCUGCCAGGACAGCUCCAAGCCCAGGUGCCAGAUAAUGAGGGUUUGAGUUGCCUGAACCAAGAGCAGGAGGAGAGACUGCUGGAGCUGGAGCAGAAGGCUGAGCUCUGGGAGGAGCAGGCAGAGGCGCGCAGGCAAACCUUGGAGACCACGCAGAAUGACCUCGCCACCAUCAAUCAUGCAGUCUCCCAGAAUGGUGAGCUCAAGGAGCAGAUGGCCGAGCUGCAGAGUGGCUUCAUGAAGCUGAAAAAUGAGAACAUGGAGAUCACCAGCAAACUAUAGUCAGAGCAGUAUAUCAAGAAGGAGCUGGGCGAGAAGCUGGGUGAGCUGAAGGAGAUGGUAGAGCUGAAGAGCCAAGAGGCUCAGAGUCUGCAGCAGUAGUGAGAUCAAUACCUGGGUCACCUGCAGCAGUACAUGGCGGCCUAUCAGCAGCAGGUGGCCACCUUUCAGCAGGUGCCCUCCGAGAAGGAGCUCCACAAGCAGUUACUGCUGCAGACCCAGCUCAUAGACCAGCUGCAGCAGGAGGAAGCUCAGGGCAAAGUGGUGGCUGAGAUGGCCUGCCAAGAGUUGCAGGAGACCCAGGAGCACCUGGAAGCCACCAGCCAGCAGAAGCAGCAGCCUCAGGCCCAGCUGACCUUCAUGGCUCUCCAUGGGGAAGGAGAUGGACUGGACAGUAAGGAGGAGACGCCUCCACUCAUGCUGAGCAUCCUGGAGGACCUGGAGAGUCGGGAGGCCAUGGUGGCAUUUUUAUACUCAGCUGUAGCCAGUGCCGAAGAGGAGCAGGCACAGCCACAUGGGCAGCUGAAGGAGCAAAGGGUGAGCUGUAAGUGUCUGGCUCAUCUGGUGGCCACGGUCCAGAAGGAGCCAGAGGCAGCAGCCCUAGUCCCAGAGACUAGAGACAAUUCUGUAGGUGGGAAGGCCCACCAGGCCCUCCAGGGGGCCAUGGAAAAGCCUCAGAGUCACUUUAUGGAGGUCAGGCAGGAGAAGGUGGACCUGAAGGAGCAGAUGGAAAAGCUGGAACGUCACUGUAUCCAACUGUCUGGAGAGACAGACACCGCAGGAAAGUACAUCACACUGUACCAGAGCCAGAGGGCAGUGUUGAAGAUGUGACGACAGAAGGAAUACAUAAGCAGGCUGGCCCAGGGCAAGAAGAAGAUUAAAGUGAAGCUGCUGGAGCUGCAGGAGCUGGUGUUGCGGCUUGUGGGCAACCACAACAAGUGGCGUGGCAAAUUCCUGGCAGCUACCCAGAACCCUGCUGAUGAGCCCGCUCCAGGCACCCCAGCUCCCCCAGGAGCUUGGGACUACCAACAAGCAGGGUGAUCUUUGCAAGAUGAGCCACGUCCACAGUGUGGAACCCGCACAAGGAAAGGCCAGGGAGGGUUCUCACCAUGAUAAUCCCACUGCACAGCAGGUUAUGCAGCUGCUUCCUGAGAUGCAGAACCCCCAGGAGCACCCAGGCUUGGGCAGCAACCCCUGCAUUCCAUUUUUCUAUUGUGCUGACGAGAAAUGAGGUGAAGACCACCGUCAUCUAA